UGCUGCGGUAGUGUAGUGGUUAACGUUCCCGACUUUAAUGUUUAGGGGUCCAAGGUUCGAUGCCUGGCGUGGAAA